UAGGUAAUAGAACAUUCUUUGAGUUGCUGCAAAGAAUGUGGCCAUACUCUUGAGAAUGUUGAAGUUGAAGCCUAUUUUUAUUUGC
rfam:Methanosarcina mazei strain Goe1, complete genome.